GAUGAACGCUGGCGGCGUGCCUAAUACAUGCAAGUCGAGCGAACAGAUGAGGAGCUUGCUCCUCUGACGUUAGCGGCGGACGGGUGAGUAACACGUGGAUAACCUACCUAUAAGACUGGGAUAAAUUCGGGAAACCGGAGCUAAUACCGGAUAAUAUAUUGAACCGCAUGGUUCAAUAGUGAAAGACGGUUUUGCUGUCACUUAUAGAUGGAUCCGCGCCGCAUUAGCUAGUUGGUAAGGUAACGGCUUACCAAGGCAACGAUGCGUAGCCGACCUGAGAGGGUGAUCGGCCACACUGGAACUGAGACACGGUCCAGACUCCUACGGGAGGCAGCAGUAGGGAAUCUUCCGCAAUGGGCGAAAGCCUGACGGAGCAACGCCGCGUGAGUGAUGAAGGUCUUCGGAUCUUAAAACUCUGUUAUUAGGGAAGAACAAAUGUGUAAGUAACUAUGCACGUCUUGACGGUACCUAAUCAGAAAGCCACGGCUAACUACGUG
rnacentral:rRNA from 1 species